CUUGGUCAUUUAGAGGAAGUAAAAGUCGUAACAAGGUUUCCGUAGGUGAACCUGCGGAAGGAUCAUUACCUAGAGUUGUAGGCUUUGCCUGCUAUCUCUUACCCAUGUCUUUUGAGUACCUUCGUUUCCUCGGCGGGUCCGCCCGCCGAUUGGACAAUUUAAACCAUUUGCAGUUGCAAUCAGCGUCUGAAAAAACUUAAUAGUUACAACUUUCAACAACGGAUCUCUUGGUUCUGGCAUCGAUGAAGAACGCAGCGAAAUGCGAUAAGUAGUGUGAAUUGCAGAAUUCAGUGAAUCAUCGAAUCCUUGAACGCACAUUGCGCCCCCUGGUAUUCCGGGGGGCAUGCCUGUUCGAGCGUCAUUUCACCACUCAAGCCUCGCUUGGUAUUGGGCGACGCGGUCCGCCGCGCGCCUCAAAUCGACCGGCUGGGUCUUCCGUCCCUCAGCGUUGUGGAAACUAUUCGCUAAAGGGUGCCGCGGGAGGUCACGCCGCAAAACAACCCCAUUUCUAAGGUUGACCUCGGAUCAGGUAGGGAUACCCGCUGAACUUAAGCAUAUCAAUAAGCGGAGGA
rnacentral:rRNA from 1 species